rfam:Brachypodium distachyon strain Bd21 chromosome 4, whole genome shotgun sequence.
UAGCUACUCUCUCCGUCCAACAAAAGAUGUCUCAAGUUUAUCAAAAUUUGGAUGUAUCUACACAUAACUUAGUGUAUAGAUGCAUUCAAAUUUAGUCAAAGUUGAGACAUCUUUGUUGGACAAGGGGAGUAUAAA